rnacentral:rRNA from 1 species
AUUGAACGCUGGCGGCAGGCCUAACACAUGCAAGUCGAGCGGUAGCACAAGGGAGCUUGCUCCCCGGGUGACGAGCGGCGGACGGGUGAGUAAUGUCUGGGAAACUGCCUGAUGGAGGGGGAUAACUACUGGAAACGGUAGCUAAUACCGCAUAACGUCGCAAGACCAAAGUCGGGGACCUUCGGGCACCACGCCAUCAGAUGUGCCCAGAUGGGAUUAGCGAGUAGGUGGGGUAAUGGCUCACCUAGGCGACGAUCCCUAGCUGGUCUGAGAGGAUGACCAGCCACACUGGAACUGAGACACGGUCCAGACUCCUACGGGAGGCAGCAGUGGGGAAUAUUGCACAAUGGGCGCAAGCCUGAUGCAGCCAUGCCGCGUGUGUGAAGAAGGCCUUCGGGUUGUAAAGCACUUUCAGCGAGGAGGAAGGCAGCAAGGUUAAUAACCUUGCUGAUUGACGUUACUCGCAGAAGAAGCACCGGCUAACUCCGUGCCAGCCGCCGCCGUAAGAC